UACGGAGGGUGCAAGCGUUAAUCGGAAUUACUGGGCGUAAAGGGCGCGUAGGCGGUCAGCACAAGUCAGUUGUGAAAUCUCCGGGCUUAACUCGGAAAGGUCAACUGAUACUGUGCGACUAGAGUGCGGAAGGGGCAACUGGAAUUCUCGGUGUAGCGGUGAAAUGCGUAGAUAUCGAGAGGAACACCUGCGGCGAAGGCGGGUUGCUGGGCCGACACUGACGCUGAUGCGCGAAAGCCAGGGGAGCGAACGGG
rnacentral:rRNA from 1 species